rnacentral:rRNA from 1 species
CCUACGGGAGACAGCAGUGAGGAAUAUUGGUCAAUGGGCGCGAGACUGAACCAGCCAAGUAGCGUGAAGGAUGACUGCCCUACGGGUUGUAAACUGCUUUUAUAAAGGAAUAAAGUGAGGCACGUGUGCCUUUUUGUAUGUACCUUAUGAAUAAGGAUCGGCUAACUCCGUGCCAGCAGCCGCGGUAAUACGGAGGAUCCGAGCGUUAUCCGGAUUUAUUGGGUUUAAAGGGAGCGUAGAUGGGUUGUUAAGUCAGUUGUGAAAGGUUGCGGCUCAACCGUAAAAUUGCAAGUGAUACUGGCAGUCUUGAGUGCAGUGGAGGUAGGCGGAAUUCGUGGUGUAGCGGUGAAAUGCUUAGAUAUCACGAAGAACUCCGAUUGCGAAGGCAGCUUACUAAACUGCUACUGACGUUGAUGCUCGAAAGUGUGGGUAUCGAACAGGAUUAGAUACCCGAGUAGUC